CGACCGGCGCACGGGUGAGUAACGCGUAUCCAACCUGCCCCCUAGUAGGGAACAGCCCGUAGAAAUGCGGAUUAAUGCCCUAUGUUCUCCGAAGACGGCAUCAGAUUCGGAGCAAAGGCCUUUUGGUGCUAGGGGAUGGGGAUGCGUCUGAUUAGGCAGCAGGCGGGUAACGGCCCACCUGGCCGUCGAUCAGUAGGGGUUCUGAGAGGAAGGUCCCCCACACUGGUACUGAGACACGGACCAGACUCCUACGGGAGGCAGCAGUGAGGAAUAUUGGUCAAUGGCCGAGAGGCUGAACCAGCCAAGUAGCGUUGCAGGACGACGGCCCUACGGGUUGUAAACUGCUUUUAUGCGGGGAUAACAUGGCCCACGCGUGGGCCCUUGCAGGUACCGCAUGAAUAAGGACCGGCUAAUUCCGUGCCAGCCGCCGC
rnacentral:rRNA from 1 species